UCUUCCUCGAUGUGGCCUUGGUGGCAUA
rnacentral:piRNA from 1 species